AUGUUUCCUGUGUUUAUGGUUUUCUGACAG
rnacentral:piRNA from 1 species